UACAGAGGUCCCAAGCGUUGUUCGGAUUCACUGGGCGUAAAGGGUGCGUAGGUGGUGAGGUAAGUCGGAUGUGAAAUCUCCGAGCUCAACUCGGAAACUGCAUUGGAAACUACCUUGCUCGAGGGUUGGAGGGGGGACUGGAAUGCUUGGUGUAGCAGUGAAAUGCGUAGAUAUCAAGCGGAACACCAGUGGCGAAGGCGAGUCCCUGGACAACUCCUGGCACUGAUGCACGAAAGCUAGGGGAGCAAACAGG
rnacentral:rRNA from 1 species